rnacentral:lncRNA from 1 species
CUCGUGGAGAUGCUCCCACAGCCAGGAACCUCUGCAGGGCAGCGGAACACCCGGCGGUGGAUGGGGGCCCCAGGAUGGAAGCACCGGGGUGGAUCCCGACCGGCAGUGUCAGGGUGGGUGUUUGCAGCCCGGUGCGCUGACAGCUCGUGAGGAAGAGGUGCGACCUAUGGAUGGGCUGUGGAUUGAGGGCUGGGUGGGCGAUGGGCACCACUGCACAAGGUGUCCGUGGAACGUGGGAUGCCGUUCUGUAAUUAAGCAAAUCCAGUGGAUAAGGCCUCUCUGGUGCGGUGAGAAAUACGUCGCGCGAUUCUCCAGAGAGCAGAUCUCUUGUGAAAAGCUUUUGAUUCACAGCUGCAGCAGCGGUGUCCUGCAAGCAGGAGCCUCCCACCAGCAGCACAGCGCAGCCGUACAGCCCCUGACCCGGCACGGAGAAUUCCUCCCAGUUCCUCAUCAAUCGAGGCAUUCUGGGUUCACAGUCUGCGCAUUUCCUUCUGAGCUCAGCGCUCCAGUGCUAUGCGAUGCUGGAGAAGGAAACACGAUUGUAACUCUCACGCUUUAGUGGGCGCACGGUGCAGUUUUCCUCACUAAUUUGGCUCAGAGGACAUAACAGAACACCUCUAUCUUCCGCCCCCAAUGGUUCUGCCCCACGAGGAGCACUGCAGUCCCAACGGAGCCCUUUAAUCUUUGGCCUCGCAACGCGCACGGACAUUUCCCUCGGGUUCCGCAGACACUGC